rnacentral:sRNA from 1 species
CAGACAGUUGGCUGCUGAGUGAACCCCCGUCCCUGAGCUAACCCACAUGCUAGCAGAGGAGGAAGUCAAGAGUCAGCCACUAACCAGAUGCAAAUCCCCACACUCUUCCCCUUAGCGCUUGACCGUGCCUCCCAGCUGCUAACUGGCCUCAAAUGAUGCAUGUGAGCCCAGCUCCAUGACCUUCUCCAGCUGAGGCAGGAGAAUGCCUACCUGGCCACCAUCACCAAGCAGAUCACGCCCUACGUCCGCUCCAUUGCCAAGGUGAAGGAGCGGCUGGAGCCCAGGUUUCAGGCACCCAUGGAUGAGCAGUCAGAGAGUCUACAAAACACGCACGACGACAGCAGGAACAGCACGGCCUCAACCAGGAAUAAUCCAGGAAGUGUCCCGGAAAAGAGAGAGAAGACAUCAGAGCCUAAAGGAAACAGCUGGGCUCCGAACGGCCUCUCGGAAGAGCCUCUACUGAAAAAUAUGGA